rnacentral:tRNA from 1 species
CAAAAAGUAGCUUAUAAAAGCACCCAAAUUACAACUGGGAGAUGCCGACCAAUCACGACCUUUUUGA